GCUCGGGAAAAAUGUGAAACAGUGAGAAACAGGGUCAAAUGGACUUUUCAUCAACGUGAAGUUCGUGCUAUAGUCUGUUUCCUAUUUGUAUUUCAUUUCUAUAUCUAAAUCUAGGGUGGGCUCGAAUGGCGACAAAGUAUGAAGAGAAUGCAACGUUUUUAUGAUAUCUACUGUUUUUAUCGGAAAAAGCAUGUAUUUAUCUUGAAUUUGAAGGUAAAUUUAGGGUUUUAACCAUAAUGACCGUGUCUCAGUUGCUGUUCUAGCAAAAAGCUAAUUUCGUGAAAAUUGGCCAAAAGGGUCCUUAAGCAAAU
rnacentral:lncRNA from 1 species